AAUGAACGUUGGCGGCGUGGAUUAGGCAUGCAAGUCGAGCGAGAAGCUUUAAAAAGAUACCUCGGUUGAUUUUUGAAGUGGACAGCGGCGAAAGGGAGAGUAACGAGUAGAUACGUACCCGAGGGUUCGGGAUAGCAGGGGAAACCGCUGGUAAUACCGAAUAAUGUUUCCGAACCAAAGAUUUAUUGCCCUCGGAUCGGUCUGCUUACUAUUAGCUUGUUGGUGGGGUAAAGGCCUACCAAGGCAAAGAUGGUUAGCGGGUGUGAGAGCAUGGCCCGUCUCACUGGGACUGAGACACUGCCCAGACACCUACGGGUGGCUGCAGUCGAGAAUCUUCCGCAAUGGACGAAAGUCUGACGGAGCGACGCCGCGUGCGGGAUGAAGGCCUUCGGGUUGUAAACCGCUGUCAUAGGGGAGGAAUUUUGACCGAUCCUAAGAGGAAGCACAGGCUAAGUUCGUGCCAGCCGCCGCGGUAAUU
rnacentral:rRNA from 1 species